rnacentral:tRNA from 1 species
AGAAGAUUAGGUUAAACAAACCAGAGGCCUUCAAAGCCCCAAACAAGAGUCACCACCCUCCUAGCUUGUG